rnacentral:rRNA from 1 species
UACAGAGGUGGCAAGCGUUGUUCGGAAUUACUGGGCGUAAAGGGCGCGUAGGCGGCAAUUCAAGUCAGCUGUGAAAUCUCCGAGCUUAACUCGGAACGGUCAGCUGAUACUGCUUUGCUAGAGUACAGAAGGGGCAAUCGGAAUUCUUGGUGUAGCGGUGAAAUGCGUAGAUAUCAAGAGGAACACCUGAGGUGAAGACGGGUUGCUGGGCUGAUACUGACGCUGAGGCGCGAAAGCUAGGGUAGCAAACGGG